rnacentral:rRNA from 1 species
UACGAAGGGGGCUAGCGUUGCUCGGAAUCACUGGGCGUAAAGCGCACGUAGGCGGAUUGUUAAGUCAGGGGUGAAAUCCCGGAGCUCAACUCCAGAACUGCCUUUGAUACUGGCGAUCUCGAGUCCGGGAGAGGUGAGUGGAACUGCGAGUGUAGAGGUGAAAUUCGUAGAUAUUCGCAAGAACACCAGUGGCGAAGGCGGCUCACUGGCCCGGUACUGACGCUGAGGUGCGAAAGCGUGGGGAGCAAGCAGG